CGCGGUCUUGCGGCGUGGCGAGCGGGCAGCGGCGUGCGCAGCGGCGCGCUCGUUAGUGCGCUUGGUGCGUUCGUCGCUCACGGCCGCGCCC
rnacentral:tRNA from 1 species